rnacentral:rRNA from 1 species
GAGUUUGAUCAUGGCUCAGAUUGAACGCUGGCGGCAUGCCUUACACAUGCAAGUCGAACGGCAGCAUGAUCUAGCUUGCUAGAUUGAUGGCGAGUGGCGAACGGGUGAGUAAUACAUCGGAACGUGCCCUGUAGUGGGGGAUAACUAGUCGAAAGAUUAGCUAAUACCGCAUACGACCUGAGGGUGAAAGUGGGGGACCGCAAGGCCUCAUGCUAUAGGAGCGGCCGAUGUCUGAUUAGCUAGUUGGUGGGGUAAAGGCCCACCAAGGCGACGAUCAGUAGCUGGUCUGAGAGGACGAUCAGCCACACUGGGACUGAGACACGGCCCAGACUCCUACGGGAGGCAGCAGUGGGGAAUUUUGGACAAUGGGGGCAACCCUGAUCCAGCAAUGCCGCGUGUGUGAAGAAGGCCUUCGGGUUGUAAAGCACUUUUGUCCGGAAAGAAAUCGCACUUACUAAUAUUAGGUGUGGAUGACGGUACCGGAAGAAUAAGGACCGGCUAACUACGUGCCAGCAGCCGCGGUAAUACGUAGGGUCCAAGCGUUAAUCGGAAUUACUGGGCGUAAAGCGUGCGCAGGCGGUUGUGCAAGACCGAUGUGAAAUCCCCGGGCUUAACCUGGGAAUUGCAUUGGUGACUGCACGGCUAGAGUGUGUCAGAGGGGGGUAGAAUUCCACGUGUAGCAGUGAAAUGCGUAGAGAUGUGGAGGAAUACCGAUGGCGAAGGCAGCCCCCUGGGAUAACACUGACGCUCAUGCACGAAAGCGUGGGGAGCAAACAGGAUUAGAUACCCUGGUAGUCCACGCCCUAAACGAUGUCAACUAGUUGUUGGGGAUUCAUUUCCUUAGUAACGUAGCUAACGCGUGAAGUUGACCGCCUGGGGAGUACGGUCGCAAGAUUAAAACUCAAAGGAAUUGACGGGGACCCGCACAAGCGGUGGAUGAUGUGGAUUAAUUCGAUGCAACGCGAAAAACCUUACCUACUCUUGACAUGCCACUAACGAAGCAGAGAUGCAUUAGGUGCUCGAAAGAGAAAGUGGACACAGGUGCUGCAUGGCUGUCGUCAGCUCGUGUCGUGAGAUGUUGGGUUAAGUCCCGCAACGAGCGCAACCCUUGUCUCUAGUUGCUACGAAAGGGCACUCUAGAGAGACUGCCGGUGACAAACCGGAGGAAGGUGGGGAUGACGUCAAGUCCUCAUGGCCCUUAUGGGUAGGGCUUCACACGUCAUACAAUGGUGCAUACAGAGGGUUGCCAAGCCGCGAGGUGGAGCUAAUCCCAGAAAAUGCAUCGUAGUCCGGAUCGUAGUCUGCAACUCGACUACGUGAAGCUGGAAUCGCUAGUAAUCGCGGAUCAGCAUGCCGCGGUGAAUACGU